rnacentral:rRNA from 1 species
AUUGAACGCUGGCGGCAGGCUUAACACAUGCAAGUCGAGCGGAGAUGAGGUGCUUGCACCUUAUCUUAGCGGCGGACGGGUGAGUAAUGCUUAGGAAUCUGCCUAUUAGUGGGGGACAACAUUCCGAAAGGAAUGCUAAUACCGCAUACGUCCUACGGGAGAAAGCAGGGGAUCUUCGGACCUUGCGCUAAUAGAUGAGCCUAAGUCGGAUUAGCUAGUUGGUGGGGUAAAGGCCUACCAAGGCGACGAUCUGUAGCGGGUCUGAGAGGAUGAUCCGCCACACUGGGACUGGGACACGGCCCAGACUCCUACGGGAGGCAGCAGUGGGGAAUAUUGGACAAUGGGGGGAACCCUGAUCCAGCCAUGCCGCGUGUGUGAAGAAGGCCUUAAGGUUGUAAAGCACUUUAAGCGAGGAGGAGGCUACUGAGACUAAUACUCUUGGAUAGUGGACGUUACUCGCAGAAUAAGCACCGGCCAACUCUGUGCCAGCCGCCGCCGUAACAC